rnacentral:rRNA from 1 species
UGUAUGUCAUACUUCCAAGAAAAGCUUGCACUGUCAUAGAUAAAAAACGCCUGUACCAUAACCGACACAGGUGGGCAGGUAGAGUAUACUAAGGGGCGCGAGAUAACUCUCUCUAAGGAACUCGGCAAAAUAACUCCGUAACUUCGGGAGAAGGAGUGCCUUAUUUUUAAGGCUGCAAUAACAAGAUCCAAGCAACUGUUUAUCAAAAACACAGGUCUCCGCUAAGUCGUAAGACGAUGUAUGGGGGCUGACGCCUGCCCAGUGCCAGAAGGUUAAAGGAGUUGGUUAGCAAUAGCGAAGCUGAUAACUGAAGCCCUGGUGAACGGCGGCCGUAGCCAUAACGGUCCUAAGGUAGCGAAAUUCCUUGUCGGGUAAGUUCCGACCCGCACGAAAGGCGUAAUGAUUUGGAUACUGUCUCGGAGAGGGGCUCGGUGAAAUAGACUUGUCUGUGAAGAUGCGGACUACCUGCACCAGGACAGAAAGACCCUAUGAAGCUUUACUGUAACUUGAAAUUGAAAUUGGACUUUAUUCGCGCAGUAUAGGUGGGAGGCGUUGAUUGUAAUCUUGCGGGAUUAUUGGAGCCAUCAGUGAGAUACCACCCUUGUAAUGUUAGAUUUCUAACUUUGAAUCAUUAUCUGGUCAAAGAACAGUUUCAGGCGGGCAGUUUGACUGGGGCGGUCGCCUCCUAAACGGUAACGGAGGCGUACAAAGGUUUCCUCUGAACGGUUAGAAAUCGUAUCUAGAGUGUAAAGGCAUAAGGAAGCUUGACUGUGAGACCUACAAGUCGAGCAGGGGUGAAAGUCGGUCUUAGUGAUCUGACGGUACUGAGUGGAAAGGCCGUCACUCAACGGAUAAAAGUUACUCUAGGAUAACAGGCUGAUCUCCCCCAAGAGUUCACAUCGACGGGGAGGUUUGGCACCUCGAUGUCGGCUCAUCGCAUCCUGGGGCGGUAGUACGUCCCAAGGGUUGGGCUGUUCGCCCAUGAAAGCGGUACGCGAGCUGGGUUCAGAACGUCGUGAGACAGUUCGGUCCAUAUCCGGUGUAGGCGUUAGAAUAUUGAGAGGAGCCUUCUUUAGUACGAGAGGACCGAGAAGGACAUACCUCUGGUGUACCAGUUAUCGUGCCAACGGUAAACGCUGGGUAGCUAUGUAUGGAGUGGAUAACCGCUGAAAGCAUCUAAGUGGGAAGCCCACCUCAAGAUAAGUAUUCUC